GAUAUUUAUGGAACGUAGAAACUUAUGUUUAAUUCUCUAGUAACUUGAGGCACUGAUGUGUUUUUAUAUGCAUUAGGCAUUAUUAAAUAUUUGAGGUUGUGUAUAAAACUUGCAUCUAAGUUUGUAGAUGAAUUCCAUGUUUUGGUGAGUAGUUAGUUGAGGGUUUUUUCAUGUCUUUCUCAAUAUUAAUCAACAUAUGAUGCUUGUACAAAUUAAGUUAACAUCAAUUUCGAUUUGAGUUUAAAUUUAACUAUAGUUCCAAUACUUGUGUCAUUGAAGUUUCACGUGCAAUGUGCUAUAUGUUAGUUUUUUGCAUACAUACGUACAUGGUUGAGAUGACUUUUCCUUAUUCCAGUUGACAUGGUUGUGGCCAUGUAAGUGUUUACCUAUUUUGUAUAAAAAAAAUUGUGAAG
rnacentral:lncRNA from 1 species